rnacentral:rRNA from 1 species
UUUGUCCUACGGGGCGCAGCAGUGGGGAAUCUUGCACAAUGGGGGGAACCCUGAUGCAGCGACGCCGCGUGGGUGAAGGAGUAUUUCGGUAUGUAAAGCCCUAUCAGCAGGGAAGAACAAUGACGGUACCUGACUAAGAAGCACCGGCUAAAUACGUGCCAGCAGCCGCGGUAAUACGUAUGGUGCAAGCGUUAUCCGGAUUUACUGGGUGUAAAGGGAGCGCAGGCGGCGCGUUAAGCCUGGUGUGAAAGCCCGCGGCCCAACCGCGGGACUGCAUUGGGAACUGGCGCGCUGGGGGGCCGGCG